rnacentral:rRNA from 1 species
GACGAACGCUGGCGGCGUGCCUAAUACAUGCAAGUCGAGCGAGCGGAACUAACAGAUUUACUUCGGUAAUGACGUUAGGAAAGCGAGCGGCGGAUGGGUGAGUAACACGUGGGGAACCUGCCCCAUAGUCUGGGAUACCACUUGGAAACAGGUGCUAAUACCGGAUAAGAAAGCAGAUCGCAUGAUCAGCUUUUAAAAGGCGGCGUAAGCUGUCGCUAUGGGAUGGCCCCGCGGUGCAUUAGCUAGUUGGUAAGGUAAAGGCUUACCAAGGCGAUGAUGCAUAGCCGAGUCGAGAGACUGAUCGGCCACAUUGGGACUGAGACACGGCCCAAACUCCUACGGGAGGCAGCAGUAGGGAAUCUUCCACAAUGGACGCAAGUCUGAUGGAGCAACGCCGCGUGAGUGAAGAAGGUGUUCGGAUCGUAAAGCUCUGUUGUUGGUGAAGAAGGAUAGAGGUAGUAACUGGCCUUUAUUUGACGGUAAUCAACCAGAAAGUCACGGCUAACUACGUG